GGACCUGGUGACCCGGGAUGCUUCUUUCCUUGCUUCGCAGUACCAGGGGAGAGAACCUGCCCUACCCCACCAGCCUCCCGCCGAGGCGCCCUCACUCACACGAGUGAAUGGCCCCAACUUGGCUGGCGGGACGGCCCGUUGCCUGGCAUAUGCUCGGCCCCGACAACUCCAGACACAGGACGGCCCCCGGCCGGGACGGCAAUCCCGAUCGAGGGCCUGACCACGAGAAGGAUCCAACUUCCCG
rnacentral:ncRNA from 1 species